rnacentral:misc_RNA from 1 species
GAUGAGGAACGUAGCGAAAUGCGAUAAAUAAUGUGAAUUGCAGAAUUCAGUGAAUCAUCGAGUCUUUGAACGCACAUUGCGCCCCCUGGUAUUCCGGGGGGCAUGCCUGUCCGAGCGUCAUUGCUGCCCUCAAGCACGGCUUGUGUGUUGGGCCCCCGUCCCCCCCUCCCGGGGGACGGGCCCGAAAGGCAGCGGCGGCACCGCGUCCGGUCCUCGAGCGUAUGGGGCUUUGUCACCCGCUCUGUAGGCCCGGCCGGCGCCUGCCGACCACCAUCAAUCUUUUUUCAGGUUGACCUCGGAUCAGGUAGGGAUACCCGCUGAACUUAAGCAUAUCAAUAAGCGGAGGA